CUACGUGCCAGCAGCCGCGGUAAUACGUAGGGCGCGAGCGUUGUCCGGAAUUAUUGGGCGUAAAGAGCUCGUAGGCGGCUGGUCGCGUCUGUCGUGAAAUCCUCUGGCUUAACUGGGGGCGUGCGGUGGGUACGGGCCGGCUUGAGUGCGGUAGGGGAGGCUGGAAUUCCUGGUGUAGCGGUGGAAUGCGCAGAUAUUAGAAGGAACACCGAUGGCGUAGGCAGGUUACUGGGCCAUUUCUGACGCUAAGGCACGAAAGCGUGGGGAGCGAACCGGAUUAGAUACCCGGGUAGUCCACGCCGUAAACGAUGGAUACUAGCUGUUGGAGGUAUCGACCCCUUCAGUAGCGAAGCUAACGCGUUAAGUAUCCCGCCUGUGGAGUACGGCCGCAAGGCUAAAACAUAAAGGAAUUGACGGGGACCCGCACAAGCGGUGGAUUAUGUUCUUUAAUUCGAUGAUAACCGAAGAACCUUACCAGGGCUUGACAUCCAG
rnacentral:rRNA from 1 species